rnacentral:rRNA from 1 species
GCUUGUCUCAAAGAUUAAGCCAUGCAUGUCUAAGUAUAGUACCUUAUACUGCGAAACUGCGAAUGGCUCAUUAAAUCAGUUAUAAUUCAUUUGAUGGUACUUACUACUCGGAUAACCGUAGUAAUUCUAGAGCUAAUACAUGCAUCAUCCCCCAUCUCGGGGUGUAUUUAUUAGAUGGAAACCAAUGCGGGGCAACCCGGAAUAUGGUGAAUCAUAAUAACUGUCGUAUCGAGCAAUCGAAGCGCCAUACAAGUUUCUGCCCUAUCAGCUUUGGAUGGUAGGGUAUUGGCCUACCAUGGCUUUAACGGGUAACGGAGAAUUAGGGUUCGAUUCCGGAGAGGGAGCCUGAGAAACGGCUACCACAUCCAAGGAAGGCAGCAGG